rnacentral:rRNA from 1 species
CCUACGGGGGGCAGCAGUGGGGAAUAUUGGACAAUGGGGGCAACCCUGAUCCAGCCAUGCCGCGUGUGUGAAGAAGGCCCUCGGGUUGUAAAGCACUUUCAGUGAGGAAGAACGCCUGGUGGUUAAUACCCAUCAGGAAAGACAUCACUCACAGAAGAAGCACCGGCUAACUCCGUGCCAGCAGCCGCGGUAAUACGGAGGGUGCGAGCGUUAAUCGGAAUUACUGGGCGUAAAGCGCGCGUAGGUGGCUUGAUAAGCCGGUUGUGAAAGCCCCGGGCUCAACCUGGGAACGGCAUCCGGAACUGUCAAGCUAGAGUGCAGGAGAGGAAGGUAGAAUUCCCGGUGUAGCGGUGAAAUGCGUAGAGAUCGGGAGGAAUACCAGUGGCGAAGGCGGUCUUCUGGACUGACACUGACACUGAGGUGCGAAAGCGUGGGUAGCAAACAGGAUUAGAUACCCCAGUAGUC